UAAUAAUGCUUUCACUUUACAGAGCACUUUUAUUGAUGCUGGGGAUAUUAUGUGUCAAGGCUAUAGCCUGUAAGUUGUAUAGCAGCCUAUGUCACAAUGCAAAUGUAGCUAGGAUGAAUCAUUUAUUGAAUGUAUAGUGCUUUUCAGGACAAUGCCUCUAUUCUGUGUUUAGUUGUAAACCCGUGGGUGCCAAAAUAACCUGGCAACAGAUAGAAACAAAAAAAUGUAAAGUUAUUUCAUAUUAAUCAGAUGGCUGCUUGCCCGGAAAGUAAUUUCUGGGCCUGCAGAAACUGUAGCCUAACCCAUGGUUUCCCCUGGCCCACAGGCUACUGCUAAGAAAACCUCUGAGUUAAAAUCAUGUAACAUGCUAUUUAAAGUCAUCACAUUUCUUUGAUUUAUCUAAAUGCCAGUUUUGCUGAUGAUGUUAUUUGUUGCACUGUAUUCCUUCAGCCACCAAAAUAAAGGCUGAACAGAGGAAGACAGGAGGGGGGGCCUCCACCUCCAGGGUUCACCCCAGCUGAGGAGUUGGUCCUGGACCACAGUAGAGGCUCAAAAACGGCUCCCAAGUGGCGCAGCAUCUCAGUGCUUGAGGCGUCACUACAGGCCCUGGUUCGAUUCCAGGCUGUAUCACAACCGGCCGUGAUUGGGAGUCCUAUUCGGCGCACAAUUGGCCCAGCGUCAUUAGGGUUUGGCUGGGGUAGGCCGUCGUUCUAAAUAAGAAUUUGUUCCUAACUGAUUUGCCUAGUUAAAUAAAGAGGGAGGGCCAAUCAUAGAAGGCAUCGCUGGAGGUUGCUUAUCAGACAUGACUGCACCCUGGACAGGAGCCCGUUUUAUAAAGGUCACUGGCCACUCAAUAACUAUUCUGGAGGGGUCAUCGACUGAAUACAUUGCGGUACAACAGCAGAACCGUUUUAUGUUGGAGGACGAGCAUUAUGAUGAGGAGACCAUCUCGGCGUCUUCCGAGAGGCCUUUUGAGAUGUGCAACUCUGCUGGACUUUACACUGCUGGACCCCCUAACUCUACUGGACCUUGCACUGCUGGACCCCCUAACUUUGCUUUGUAUAGCAAUCAAAGUGAAACCGUGUAGGGUUACUUUUGCUAAAUAUGGGUUGAGAAAAUUGACCAGAUACAUGAUUGAUUGUGCGGAAAAACGAUAACGUUCAAAAAUAAAUUCUUUUGAAUGAUCUAAAGGAUGUAUUCGAGGUCCAAUAAUUUGUACCCUUUGUAAAGCACGAUGAACAAUGCAGGCUCCAAUGUCAAGU
rnacentral:lncRNA from 8 species